rnacentral:lncRNA from 1 species
UGCAGAACAAGGAGGAUGUGAUGGGUUCAGUUUGAAACUGUGUAGCCUAAGCAUGUGAAGGAAGCUGUACUCUUCCCCUGGGCAUAAAUGAAAGGUCAGUCAGGACACAGUCAAGGGAUGUCGGAGCUGCUGUGGUCAGCGAGGG